AUAUCUAUUAUGGGACUGAAAGUAAAAUCCAGAUUUUUUAGAAAGGAAAAAACAGAAAAAACAUCAAAUGCGCUCUGAAUUGCAUGUCAUAAACAAAUGUUUCAAACCUCUUGAGACUAAAGGUGUCAUGGUGCCUCUGUCAGACUCCUCCCCCUCCAGCUCUGCUCCACUCUGCUCCUGAUUGCCACCAGCUGCCGUCACUCCACUCAUCACCCUCUGCUGCUCAAAAGGAGACCCAAUGCCACAAUCCAACGCCUGUUCGUUGCCCAUUAUGGAAUUCUACCCACGAGUGACGUCAGUGUGGACCAACUACCUUGCUGUCUUGAAGAACCGGAAGACCACUCGGACUACGCCGACCGUGUUUGUACCUCCAGCCACGCCACAAGCCCUUCACGGCUCCGGACCACGCCUCGCCAAAAUCAUAACUAUCACUGGGGAAAGAAAUAAAUCAUUCUUACCUGCAA